GACGAACGCUGGCGGCGUGCUUAACACAUGCAAGUCGAACGGUGACGGCAGAGCUUGCUCUGCCUGAUCAGUGGCGAACGGGUGAGUAACACGUGAGUAACCUGCCCCUCACUUCGUGAUAACCUCGGGAAAUCGUGGCUAAUACCGGAUAUGAGACCUGACUGCAUGGUCGGGUCUGGAAAGAUUUAUCGGUGGGGGAUGGACUCGCGGCCUAUCAGCUUGUUGGUGAGGUACCGGCUCACCAAGGCGACGACGGGUAGCCGGCCUGGGAGGGCGACCGGGCCCAGGGGGCUAGGGGAAGGACCAGGGCCCCAUGGGGGGGAAGGGGGGGGAGAUUUUGCCAAAGGGGCCAAGGCUUGAGAGAGGGGCGGCGGGUGGGGAAGGAAGGCAUUGGGGUAGGAAACCUAUUUCGGCAAGGAAGAGCCGAAAGGACGGUACCCGCAAAAAAAGGCGCGGGUAAAUUCGUG
rnacentral:rRNA from 1 species